rnacentral:lncRNA from 1 species
UUUCUUUCUAUCAUGUGGAUCCUGGGAUCAAACUCUGGCUCUCAGUGACGAGUGAUUUACUGACUGAGCCAUCUCUCUAGCAUAUAUAUAUAUAUAUGUAUAUAUAUGUAUAUGUGUAUAUAUAUAAUAUAUAUAUGCUUCAGCACUGCAGUUAUAUGUAUGUAUACAUUUAUACAUGUGUGAGUGUGUGUAUUCAUAUACAUAUAUAACUGCACACUAAAGCAAACAUUUUUGCAGUAAAGAAAGGCAUUUUAUAGGUGCUAUAGCUUUCCAACAAGUUUCUCGACAGACCUCCUGGACUCCACGAGAUGGAUAAUUUGCCCACCAUCUCAAAAAUAGUUGUCAGGGAGAACCCAGAACAAGGAGAGGAGAAACAGGGGAGACAGAAUGAAACUAUGUGCUUCUGAGGUAGGAACAGGUGAGCUCUCUGAGAGGCUGUCCAGUCUCACACCCAAACAUUGCUAAUGUGUUUGUAGUAAAAGUUUUCUGAGUGUUUCUCUCAAGUGCUAUAAAGGUAGUGGGGUGGAGUGCAUCCGGUCUGUGUGUAGGAGAGACAUUGUGUCAUCAGCUGUAGCCCAUGCUGCAAAGUAGCCCGGAAAACAACUCACUUCAUGUGUAGUGGAAUAUCUGAUGAAAGUGGGCAUCACCUGGGAGCUUGUGGCUGUGGUUUGAGCAUUGAACCCACAAUGCUCUGCAUGUUAGGCAAAUACACUUGUCCAGGAAGGUAACGGUUACCCCUCAUCUGGGAGUUUUAGAAAUGGUCAGUGUUAUUCUCAUGGGUUUCCUCUGAGGCAGAGCCUGAGAGCGGAUUUUAAAAGUGAGUUAGGAAGCUUGCGCAUGCGCAUGCGCACGUGCACACAAGCACGGCUGCUCGAACUCUAAGGCAGAGCAAGCAAAAUGAAGUGUUCUAGUAAAUAAGAGAUCGGAACCUGUCUCUUUGGAGCCCUCAUCCAGAAGCCACACUAUUUUAGGCCACGGAGCCCAGCUACUGGGUUCUGUGAAAAUUUCUAGGUUGAACAGUCAGUCUCAAGCGGAACUGAGUGAAGUCUAAAGGCAACGGGGCCUCUUGGGAUCCUUAAGCUUACAAAAAAUUCCCUGGUCUCAGAUUUGAGGUUGACUCUAGAAGUGAGUGCUCUGAAUCUGGCCACGAGUCAUCAGAGAACUGACCCAUCUUUUUCAGUGCUUGCUAAUUAUUCGGACCAGAUCAUGGGGCUCUGGGACUUCCGGCUUCCUUGUACUUCAGUGACCUUUAUGUGUCCCGGUGACUGCCUUUAGCUUGCUAACUGCCGUCUGUGUUUCUCUGAGCCUACUCAAUAAAAAGAGUUAAGAAUAAAAUAAAAUAAGCCAAAUGCACCCCUUUAAACCCUGCAGAGGCGGGCAGAGCGCCCUGAGUUCAAGGCCAGGGUAGUCUUCAUAAUGAGACCCUGCCACGACAAAAGAAAACCAAAAAAGAGUUCCCCAAUCCAUCAUUCCUGGCUCAAAGAUCUAAAUGGCGUCUUGCCACACUCAGCAUAAUUCAAGUUCCUCCAGCCCCACAGACUUUGCCCUCCCGGACUCUGGAGUCGGACUCUGCAGUCGUCCAGCUUUGUUGAUCUUUGCCUCCCCUGGGCCUUUGCACUUGCUGUUCGCUCCAUUUGGAGUGGUCCCCCGCCCCCACCCCCGCCCUCUUCCCACCCCGCCCCAGAGGACCAGUUGCUGUUUUUCUCUGCUGUGCCCUGCAUGGGAUUGUAAAUCUUUCAAAUGCAAAGACCCUUUACCCGCCAUCCCUGCUACCUUCCUGGCAUCUAGUAAAGGCAAAUGCACUUAGGAAUUCCUUGGUAGCACACUUAGUUAUAUGAAUGAGCAAAAAAUUGGAGGAACAGGACAUGCUAGAAACAAGCGCCCGCCCGAGUUCUCCGAGCAGGUAACCCAAAAGAGCCGAAUCAGCAUAUGGAGUCUGAUGUGUUUCUUGCGGUGCAGAGAGGCGCACGAAGUUUACGCUUGUGCAAGCAGAUCCUCCAGAAGUAAUUUUCUCUUUAGAGAGGUGCCGUACACAGGCUCAGCAGUAAAUCCACAGUAUUUUUUUAUAAGAAAAUAAAAAGUGGAAAUCAUAUGAAAAGUGGCAACCACCCACCGGUAGCCCCCAUCUUCUUUGGACGACGCCAUGACAUUCCCCUCCCCCACCCCAGGCCCAGUGGCGGGUCUAACUAGCAAGAUCCCCGGGGAAGGACAAAGGUAGUCGGAGUUCAGGCUAAAGCGGCCUUUGUUUUGUUUAUCUCGCCCUGUACAUGAUAGAAGGCUUUGCCUUGUAACCCACAAUCGCCGGGGCUCAGAAAACCGCCCUGGUGUCUUGGGUGGGUCACCCGCUCAGAGAUGGUGAGGUUGGAUUUAGAGGCUUGGCUUCAGUCAGUUUCUUAUCUCCCUCCGCAUCCCUUUCCAGAUGCUUUCUCCUCUGGCAUUUCUUCCGCUUGGUGCUCUGAAAUUGCUCCUCGUCACUCAAAAACUGCUUCUGCUUGGCCUCGGUGCUUCUGUUUCGUUUUUCUUUAGAAACCAAUCCUCACACUAGGUUACUUGGAAAUACACAAAAUAAGGAAGAAACAGUCACUCCUAGAGAAUGAGCCACAGUGAUUUCUAUUUUUCCUGGGCUGGAAAAACGUCAGUAUUGUACCACUUUUUCCCUUGUGAUUAUGAAAAACAGUGUAUCCUUAGUGUAAAGGUUUUGGACUAUGAAGACUUCCAAUGGAGCUCAUAAUGGAGAAGGACUUUUCACUUUGUUUCCAUUCUGGAAUUACAGACGUGUUCCCCCACACCCGGCCUAUUGUGAGUUUUUGGUACUUAGUAUUUCACCUUCACACACAGGGAAACCAUAAGCUUGAUUGCCCUUGGAAGCCAGGUGAAACAGGAUAAGAAACCUAUCCCAAAGCCUACGUUUGUAGUUUCUCGGUACCGGCUCUAUCUUGUGGUGUGGCUCAGAACCCACGAACAUUGGGGCAGAGGAGCAGACUGAGAGAGAGCAGGUGUGUGUGUUUGCUGAGGACAAGGGAAGAAGCGGGAGGCAAUUGUGCAGAUACCCAGGGUGGAGAAGGGGAGAGAAUGGGGGAUGGGUUCGGUGUGCAUAGUUGGUCCAGAGGCCGUGGCUUGUAGGCAGCCCCCCAAAAUGCUUGUUAGAACUAAGGUCCUGCCGGGCAUGGUGGCGCACGCCUUUAAUCCCAGCACUUGGGAGGCAGAGGCAGGCGGAUUUCUGAGUUCGAGGCCAGCCUGGUCUACAGAGUGAGUUCCAGGACAGCCAGGGCUGCACAGAGAAACCCUGUCUCGAAAAACCCAAAAAAAAAAAAAAAAAAAAAAAACUAGGGUCCCUGUCCUGUCUCAGGGACCCUCGCGUGCAGCAUCCUUCUCAGGGUCUAACAAGACUAUCUUGCCCGUCCAGUUCCAAACAGAUGAAGCCGGGAGAUCCCGGGCUUCUCACUUAGAGCUGACACCUGCUGUCCAGGUGCUAAAGAGAGCGUGUGCUUUUGUGACCAACCGCUUCACUGGACCUCCGCAGGAUGUCCGGCUCUGCCCCAGCUGGAAUAGCCAGACUUAAGCCUGUUACUGUCAUGCAUCUCAUAAGGAUGACUUUGGUCCCUAUAAGAAGGUAGUCUCACAAUAUUACACUCUUAGUGAUAUAGCAGCUAUCCUAGUUUAUGCAGACUGUGACAUAAUGAUGAAAUUGCCCGACAGCACAAUUCUUAGUAUUUAUCCCCAUUGUUAAGUUGCAGGACUCUUUUGUUUAUCCCAUUUGGGGGAAAAAAAAAACCAAAAACAACAAAAAAUAAAAAGCUGCAUAGUGAGACAAUGGGAGGGGGGAUGGGCGACCCCAAACCAUCCUCCACAAAAAGAAAAAUGUUAUAGGAAUUGAACAUAGGUUCACUAAACCAUCUUGCCAGCUCCUAACUUUGUAAUUUUAUUUAUUUAUUUAUUUAUUUAUUUAUUAAAGAUUUAUUUAUUUAUUAUAUGUAAGUACACUGUAGCUCCAGAAGAGGGCGUCAGAUCAUGUUACAGAUGGUUGUGAGCCACCAUGUGGUUGCUGGGAUUUGAACUUCGGACCUUCAGAAGAGCAGUCGGGUGCUCUUACCCACUGAGCCAUUUCACCAGCCCCUAACUUUGUAAAUUUAAUAGAGACUGUUUUGAAGUAGAAAAUAUUGUAAAAUAUGUGAAGUAAGUCAGUUGAUUGCAUUUUGCAGUGAAAACUCUGUUGUACAUUAAGAAAAUAUUCAAAAGAAGCCAAUGAGAAGAUGACUGAGAUUUACUGGUUGUUUUCCUGGCCAGCUCUGCACUCUCCACACACACACACACACACACACACACCACACACACACCACACACACACACACACACACACACACCACACACACACACCACACACACACCACACACACACACACACACACACACACACCACACUUCCCUUGAAUUAAGAAGAUGACAUAAAUGGACUCCUGUCUCAGCCUUUGGGUUAGCCUCAUGUCCACAUACUGAAGAUGCACGCAUGGAUGUGCACACAUUGUGACAUCUUGCUAGGCAUUGUGACCAAAAGGUAAUUUCAUGCUAAGCUAAGCCACCUCCAUGCCAGUACUGCUGGCUUCACUUGCAUUUACAUUUCAAGUCCAGAGAAUCCGAUGGCACCAGAGGCAUCUCUGACUCUUGCAGCUGGGGGCGGGGACCUAGGUCUAGAGAGCAGGGAUGAUAGUGGCAGGGAUGGGCUUUGUAUUCUCUGUGCCUUGUUACCUCCGGCCUCAUGGAGCUGGACCAAGAUAGGGCUGGGGUAGGAGAUAAGGGGUUUGGUUUUGUCUGGCUGUCUGGUUUUUUUUUUUAAUAUUUUUUAAAGAUUUGUUUAUUAUUAUUCAUAAGUACACUGUAGCUGUCUUCAGACGAACCAGAAGAGGGUGUCAGGUCUCAUUACGGGUGGUUGUGAGCCACCAUGUGGUUGCUGGGAUUUGAACUCUGGACCUUCGGAAGAGCAGUCAGUACUCUUACCCACUGAGCCAUCUCACCAGCCCCUAUCUGUCUUUUUAUCAUCUAUUUAUUUUCCUGUUUUUGUUGUUGGUUGGUUGGUUGUUGUUGUUGUUGUUGUUGUUGUUGUUUUGAGACAGGGUUUCUCUAUGUAACAGCUCUGGUUGUUCUGGAACUUGCUUUGCAGCUCCAGCUGGUCUCAAACUCACAGAGUUCCACCUGCUUCUGCCUCCUGAGAGCUGGAAUUAAAGGUACACACUACUAUAUCAGUUUGUUAUUGUUUUUAAAUUGCAUUUUUAAAAAAUUGUGUGUGUGUGUGUGUGUGUGUGUGUGUGUGUGUGUGCUUGCAGAGAGCUGGCUUUCUCCGUGUGGGUCUUAGAGAUUGAAGUCAGGUGGCCAGGCUUGGCAGCAAAUGCCUUUACCCAGUGAGCCCCAGAUAGUGAGUGUUAGUAGCUUCUCCCCACUGGCCUCACAGCCACCCCCAGAUGACUUCCCAGUGCUGAAGUUACGUUAUGAAGCUGCUACGGUCACUCACGGGGGAACAAACCCCAAGCAGCUCAAGUAUUGAAAUUUACUUCUGCUCUGUGUCUCUCGAUAUCUGGUCUUGCAAAUUUCACCUAACUCUACCUACACAUUGGUAACGGCCUGCCUGUUACCACAUCCAAAAAUCUACAGACAGUCAAUGCGGAUGCGAACUCAUCUGCUGAAUGUCAAAGUUGCAGAGCUGCCAAGAAAUUAAAAAACAGACAAAAAUAAACCUUUUAAAAUGUUAAAUGAAUCUGAGAAGUAAUAAAAUGCUUAGUAUUAUAGAAGCAUAGGACAGAGAAUAAUUCCAAUUUCAUACCACAGCAUUACAAACUCCCUCUUCUAAAAUGACCGCUAUGAUUACUGAAUUUAUACAUGAGUUAUGUUCCCAGAAAAGAAACAGUUAUUUGCCUUUUAGAGGGUGGAAAGGGUUUUGUUCUGUUGUUUGUUUUCUCUCUCUCUCUCUCUUUUUUUUUUCGAGACAGGGUUUCUCUUUGUAUAGUCCUGGCUGUCCUGGAACUCACUUUGUAGACCAGGCUGGCCUCGAACUCAGAAAUCUGCUUGCCUCUGCCUCCCGAG